UACGUAGGGAGCAGGCGUUAAUCGGAAUUACUGGGCGUAAAGCGUGCGCAGGCGGUUUGCUAAGAGAGAUGUGAAAUCCCCGGGCUUAACCUGGGAACUGCGUUUCUAACUGGCAGGCUUGAGUGUGGCAGAGGGGGGUGGAAUUCCACGUGUAGCAGUGAAAUGCGUAGAGAUGUGGAGGAACACCGAUGGCGAAGGCAGCCCCCUGGGCUAACACUGACGCUCAUGCACGAAAGCGUGGGGAGCAAACAGG
rnacentral:rRNA from 1 species